rnacentral:rRNA from 1 species
AACGAACGCUGGCGGCAGGCCUAACACAUGCAAGUCGAGCGCCCAGCAAUGGGAGCGGCGGACGGGUGAGUAACGCGUGGGAAUUUUUCCUGGAGUACGGAACAACCGAGGGAACUUCGGCUAAUACCGUAUGAUGUCUAGCGACCAAAGAUUUAUCGCUCUGGGGUAAGCCCGCGUCAGAUUAGGUAGUUGGUGGGGUAACGGCCUACCAAGCCUGCGAUCUGUAGCUGGUCNGAGAGGACGAUCAGCCACACUGGGACUGAGACACGGCCCAGACUCCUACGGGAGGCAGCAGUGGGGAAUCUUGCGCAAUGGGCGAAAGCCUGACGCAGCCAUGCCGCGUGAGUGAAGAAGGUCUUAGAUUGUAAGCUCUUUCGCUCGUGACGAUGAUGACGGUAACGAGAGAAGAA